rnacentral:rRNA from 1 species
AGUGAACGCUGGCGGCAGGCCUAACACAUGCAAGUCGAGCGGCAGCGGGUUCCCGCGAGGGGAUGCCGGCGAGCGGCGGACGGGUGAGGAACACAUCGGAAUCUGCCUGGUUGUGGGGGAUAACGUAGGGAAACUUACGCUAAUACCGCAUGAGACCCUGAGUCGACGGACUGGGGGUGAAAGUGAGGGACCUUCGGGCCUCACGCGACCAGAUGAGCCGAUGUCGGAUUAGCUAGUUGGCGGGGUAACGGCCCGCCAAGGCGACGAUCCGUAGCUGGUCUGAGAGGAUGAUCAGCCACACUGGGACUGAGACACGGCCCAGACUCCUACGGGAGGCAGCAGUGGGGAAU